AUUGAACGCUGGCGGCAGGCCUAACACAUGCAAGUCGAACGAGUGGCGGACGGGUGAGUAAUGUCUGGGAAACUGCCCGAUGGAGGGGGAUAACUACUGGAAAUGGUAGAUAAUACCGCAUACCCUCGGAUGUGCCCAGAUGGGAUUAGCUAGUAGGUGGGGUAACGGCUCACCUAGGCGACGAUGCCUAGCUGGUCUGAGAGGAUUACCAGCCACACUGGAACUGAGACACGGUCCAGACUCCUACGGGAGGCAGAAGGGGGGAAGAUUGCACAAUGGGCGAAAGACUGAUGCAGCAAUGCCGCGUGAGGGAAGAAGGCCUUCGGGUUGUAAAGUACUUUCAGCGAGGAGGCGGUACUCGCAGAAGAAGCACCGGCUAACUCCGUGCCAGCAGCCGCGGUAAUUC
rnacentral:rRNA from 1 species